ACCGUUACAAACAGUGUGUGAUGCGGCCGCCGAGGUGAAUAGCCUCUGGUUGGUAUGGGGUUCGCCCCUUCACGCUCACGCGUCUGCCAUCCUUACUUUACGAGCACCUUCUGUUCUCCCUCGGCAAGGGCCUCGCCUGCCGUUGGAACUACAAAACCCUUUUUUGCAUCUAGCAUUACCUGUUCCGACAAAAACAAUCGUUUA
rnacentral:misc_RNA from 1 species